rnacentral:rRNA from 1 species
ACGUCAAAUCAUCAUGCCCUUAUGUUCUGGGCUACACACGUGCUACAAAUGGCCGGUACAAAGGGUCGCGAACCCGCGAGGGGGAGCCAAUCCCAAAAAGCCGACUCUCAGUUCGGAUUGCAGGCUGCAACUCGCCUGCAUGAAGCCGGAAUCGCUAGUAAUCGCGGAUCAGCAUGCCGCGGUCGAAUACGUUCCCGGGCCUU